rnacentral:misc_RNA from 1 species
UUCUGCAAGAGGGUUCACAGGACAAG